UGCAGUUGCUGCUUGGGACAUUAAAGUUAAGUCAGCAACCGUCUACCAGACUGCAAGAUUCAUCUCUUCCAAAGGAUGUCGUACCUUUCCAGAUACACUGUGUUUUGUGUGGAUAAGAAAUGCAGAGUGGUACCACCAAUCACCUAAGCCACCAUUCCCCUAACAGACAAUAGGCUCAAGGGGACAGUUCCUGCAAUUUACAGAAAAGCUCUCAAUUGUAGCCCUACGAACUUAAGAUACUGCCGAUGGUGAAGCUUGGAUGCACCGGGCCGGUUUUCCAGC